CCAUGGUUCUAUCACAAAAUUCUAACCAGUGAUACAAUCUAAGAAUACAGCUAUUUUUCUUUCUUUACUCAAGAUUGACACUAGUUUCCCUAAAAUAAAUCUUCUAUCUCAACUCUUUCUAGAAAUGCUUUUAAAGAUACAAAACAUGAUUAAAAUAAUAUUGGAAUUAAUCGAGAACAUCUUGAACAAUUUAAGCAUUAAUUAAAAAUAAUUUUCAUAUAAGAAAGUCACUUGCAGAAAUUGG
rnacentral:lncRNA from 1 species